rnacentral:misc_RNA from 1 species
GAUGAAGAACGUAGCGAAAUGCGAUAAGUAAUGUGAAUUGCAGAAUUCAGUGAAUCAUCGAAUCUUUGAACGCACAUUGCGCCCCCUGGUAUUCCGGGGGGCUUGCCUGUCCGAGCGUCAUUACAACCCUCAAGCUCAGCUUGGUGUUGGGCCCCGCCGCCCCGGCGGGCCCUAAAGUCAGUGGCGGUGCCGUCCGGCUCCGAGCGUAGUAAUUCUUCUCGCUCUGGAGGUCCGGUCGUGUGCUCGCCAGCAACCCCCAAUUUUUUUCAGGUUGACCUCGGAUCAGGUAGGGAUACCCGCUGAACUUAAGCAUAUCAAUAAGCGGAGGA